rnacentral:rRNA from 1 species
UUAAAUGUAUUUUUUUUUAUUUAAUUAUUAUUAGUUAUGAUCUUUAAAAUUAAAAAUUUUGGCGGUAUUUUAGUCUUUUUAGAGGAACCUGUUUUUUAAAUGAUAAUCCACGAUUUAAUUUACUUUUAUUAUUAGCUUACAUAUCGUCGUAGUUAAAUAUUUUUAUAGAAUUAUAAUAUUUAAAAUUUUUUUAAAAAAAUUAAUCAGAUCAAGGUGUAGUUUAUAUAAAAGUUUAAAUGGGUUACAUUAAAUUUAUUUUUGGAUUUUAAAUUUUAUUAUUUAAAUGAAAUUGGAUUUAAUUGUAAUAUUAAUUAAUUAAUUAAUAUGAUUUUGGCUCUAAAAUAUGU